rnacentral:tRNA from 1 species
GAUCCGGUAGCUUAAUGGAUAGAGCAACUCCCUUCUAAGGAGUAGGUUGCGAGUUCGACUCUCGCCCGGGUCG